UACAGAGGUCCCGAGCGUUGUUCGGAUUCAUUGGGCGUAAAGGGUGCGUAGGCGGUUUCCUAAGUUUGAUGUGAAAUCCCGGGGCUUAACCCUGGAAUUGCAUUGAAUACUGGGAGACUAGAGUACUGGAGAGGAAACUGGAAUUUACGGUGUAGCAGUGAAAUGCGUAGAGAUCGUAAGGAAGACCAGUGGCGAAGGCGAGUUUCUGGCUCGUAACUGACGCUGAGGCGCGAAAGCCAGGGGAGCAAACGGG
rnacentral:rRNA from 1 species